AUCUUCCAUUCUUUUCCUUCUUCAACUAUCAGAGAACAUUAAAGAGAGAGUUUGGAAGAAGAAGAGGAAUUUUAUUAGAAUUUUAAGGUUGAAGAAGAGAAGGAGAACCGAAGCAAAGUGUAUCCAUGGCUGAAUCUUGGUUCAUUAUGCACAUCACUGGUUUUUAAUUCAGUUUGAACUUUUCAAAACGAAUUAAGAGAAAACAAGGCAGUUGGUUUUCAUGCGAAUUCAAGAGGUCUCUGGUUUUUCUUGUAUUUCAGAAUGUAUCAGUGGAGUUAGGAUCUCUAUUUAGUAUGGGACAAGUUAAAGGGGUCGUGUACGCGCGAUUAUGGAAGUUGUUCUGUUUCGAGGGUUAACUGAAUUUAUUCACAGGAAAUCAGAUUUAUAUAUCUUCAGGCCGAGAAGAAUUAAACUGAGCUUAUAGACCAAGGAUCUAGCCCAAAACAGUGAGUGACAAAACCAAUUUUGAAAUACUUUCCAUAGCUGUUAUUUAUGAUUGAAUGCGAUAAAUGUUUAUUUACGAAGCCAUGAAAAGUAUUUGAAUUUCAUGACUAUUUUCAAGUAUAUGUUUGGAAACUAGAUUUCUUAAUGAAAUUUAUGCUAGCACGUGGAUAUUUUAUGUUUGGAAAGUAUUUAAACCACCAUGUUUUAAGCAAAGUAUGAAUUAGUAAGAAGUUUUGUUUUAAGAACUACAGUUUUCCACGAAAAAGCCGAGUAAAGUUUGAGCUCUAUGUAAGAUUUAUAAGCAGACAUGUUUUAAUUUUUUUUAGAUGAUUUAUGAAAUUUUCAUUAACUACAUGACUGAGAUCUUGAGCCUGAGGCUAGAGAUUACCGUGUGCACACUGAUUAGAUUCCGUUGUUGUCGUUGAGUGUCCUCCGUAACAACGAUGCUGUCGUAAGUGCUGGGUGGGUCCCACUACGACAAAGAUGAUGGGAGUGUUGGGUGGGCCCCACUACUUCGUAAAGCCUUUAAACGUUGUUGUACUGGGUGUACCCUACACAACGUAGAUUUGUCAUGUUAGUUAAAAUAUUUCGAUAUACUUGAUAUGUCUUGCUAGAUUUCAAUGACGAACAUGUUGAGUAUUUGAGAAAUGUAUUCUUACUACUACACGUUUACAUUUAUAACUUGUAUAAACAGAUUUAUGUGUAAAGUUUUCACGUACUCUUAUCUUUAAAUUUAUAGUUUUAAACCGAGUUACUCACUGAGCUUAUUAGCUCACCCUUUUCAAAAUGCUUUACCCAUUUUCCAGGUAGAGAUCGAGUUCCCGGUGCCUGAUAGACUGCCUUAGUCUGUUGAAGCUCCGUUAUCGAUUACUAGUAUGUGUUUUGAGUUGGGCAUAGAGUCUAUUGUGUUAUGAUGUAUAUACACCCUUGUAUGUUAUAGAUACUCCAUAGUUUGUAUAAGCUUUAGGAGCUGCAGUUGUGUAAAUUUUUGUUGGUUAUAUUUUUAUUAAGGUGCCUUUAGGUUUACUCGUGAAAUCAGUUAAUUCCGAGGUACACUUCAUGUAUGUGUUUGACUAGCCUAGGAUCCGCUAUGUUUUGUUGCAUGUAUAAUAGUUUAUAUACUAGAUUUACAAGUUCAUCACAUUAAAGUUUUAAGUAGAGUCGACAGAUACAGGUAAAGAAAAGCGUUGUUCGUCGGCUUCACGCCAUCUUUCGGUCUAAGCUAGCAGGUAGUCCGGAAGGGGGUGUGACAUAUGGCCUGUUUGGGGUUAGGGUUAUGACUGUGUACUUGACUAUCCUAACCCUAACCCCCGUUUGGCCCAAGGAUUAUGGAAACCCUAGUUUUAGGGUUUCUGUAAUCCCCGUAUUAUCCCUACCCCCUUCAAAAUUGAGUCUGCCGAAAACCCUCCCUUCAACUCGUGUUUCCGCUUCCCUUAAUCCGUAGUUUCUACUCUUCGAUUAUCUUCUUUUUUUAGUUCUGUCUCCCUUCAAUUAUUCUCUCUAUUCUCUUCAAUUUUCAGUUUCCGUCGAUUCCUUGUAAUUUCCUUGCAUUAUUUUUUCUGAAAAUCCCUCCCAAUAUCUACCCUUCAACCUGUGUUUCUUCUUUUUCCACUUCUGAUUUAUGUGCUUUAUUCUUCUCUCUAUUCUCUUCUAUUUUCUAUUUUCAUAGACUCUUUGAACGGAAGUUUGGUCGGUAUGGAAUUUUUUGUUGAAAAAUCCAUUUCCCCGUUUCCAUCGACAAGGGGUUUCCUACAGUGAUCCCAACACCGAUCUACAUCUCUCAUCUGUCUCUCUCACUACGCGAAAACAAAAGUGGGUUUGUUGAAGGCGGCCCUCCACCGACGUUGCCUCCAAACCCCUUUUGGUUUUCUCUUUUUUGCGUGUUCUCUGUGAACAUGCAUGCGCUUUUUCCCGUUGAAUGUUUUCCUUGCCGCUUAAUGUAAUCCACUUGCCGCUCGGUGUAAACUUGUCAUUUUAGCUUGCCGUUUAGUGAUGUAGAACAGGUGCUUCAUGGUCUUCGUUAGCAAUGGGUCUAAAUUGAGCAUGGUAGGAUGGUAUUCUUUUGUUUGAAUCCUAUUUUUUUCAAACCCAAGCCGAAGAUGAGUACAUCUUUACCUAUAUGCACAUACAUCUGAAUCCAUGUUACAUCUCAUACAUUUUGUGGCUGAUUUUCAUUCACUAAUUUUGUUACUUUUGGAUUACCCAAUUUAUUUCUACUGAUUUCUUAUGUAUUCUAUUCACAGAUUUCGUUUCUACUUUGGUGUAGUAAUUUUGGUACAUUUCCAUUCAUUGAUUCAUAUGAGCUAUUCUCGUGUACUGAUUUCAGUUUAUAUCAAAUUUGAUUCAUGUUUUAUUUAUACAUUUUUAUAAACUCAUUUUUUGUAUUGUUUCGUUUGUGUGAUUCGGUCCCUUGUUUUGAAAUGUAUCAAAUUCCAUCCUUUAUUUGGUUUGAAAUGUAUUAAUUCUCCUGCCUUCUUCACUGUGAUGAAAAUAUUCUUUUCAAUGUGUAUUUUACUCACCGAUAUCUUUGGGGAAAAAAACAUUUCUAGUGCUGAUUGUUUUAUCCCUUCAACAUAUUGUCUUAUCUUUUCGUGGUGUAAUUUUUUUGUGUAGCUUCCAAUAUCUACCAUUUGACUAUGCUUGGACUUAUCCUUUAGCCUGAUUUUGCAGAGAUUCCCUUUGCCUUUUCUUGGUGUGGUCAUUUAUGUGAAUAUUUACUCCUCAUCUCCCCCUAUAUAAACCUCAUCUCCUCUUAUCAUUUACCACCUUCAUUUCUCAUUGGUUGCCUUCUUCCUUUGUUUUGGAAAUUUGUCUUUCGUAGGUAAAUGCUUCUAACAUUUCCAUACUUUUUUUGUAAUGUAUGUUUCUGCCUUGUUUUCUCACGUAUGCUUCUGCCUUGUUUUCUCACAUAUGUUUCUACCUUGAUUUCUCACGUAUGUUUCUACCUUGUUUUCUCACCUACAUUCUAUAUUUCUUUUUUUUUGUACUCAUGUAUGUUUUGGUUAAAAAUUGAUCACGUAUGUUUCUGCCUUCUUUUUUAAAUUCAUUCCAUAUUUACAUAUUUUCUUAUACCAUUCUUCUAUGUUUUGUACUUAUUAUUAUUCAUUUUCUUUCAUGGCUUGCGUGCAUUCUGUACCUUUCAUUUGACUGCUCAUAUGCUUUGUUCUUUGUUUUUCAUCCCUCCUAAUUGAUGUUUCCACAAUAAUAAAAUCUGGUUCAAUUUAUUGAACCGAUUUCUAAACUCUGAGGCUCUUAACAUGUGUUUUCAAAAAUAAUUUUUAUAUUUGAAUGUUAUCUUUUUAUGCCUACAUGUUUGAAUCUUAAUUUCGGGUUCUUGCUUCUACAUACAAGGUAUGUAAUCCUUCCUUUUCUGCUUUAUUUUUCUUUAAUUCUGCUACACUUCAAAAACUUGUCAUGUUUUCGGCAUUUCUUGUAUCGUAACUUAUUUAUUUUUUUAUGCAGAACGUCUGCGAUCAUCUCACCCUUGUAAGAGGUAUUACGAAUUAGCCAUUUGUAGAUUCAAUGUUCAUAUUGUAUUGUUUUUUUUCUUUUCAUUAUAAUUAAAAUUAUGUACUUAUUUCUAUUCAUAGCCUACAAACUAUGGGUUUUGUAAUUAAUUUUGUUCAUGGACAUUUCAUUUAUUUAAUGAAUUUCUUAUUAUUUUGUUUCA